rnacentral:lncRNA from 1 species
GCUAACGAUUCAACUGUCAAGGGAAAGAGAAAGCUGGCUCUUGCCUGGGACCUCCUUGUUUAUUUUCCUGCGUUAACCUCAGCCUAUCCCUGGGGGAGCGUGUGCCUGCUCUGCCUUACGUGGGGAUCUGCGGCUGCCCUUCACUUCCUCCUGCACCGUUGGAACCACUUACCAGCAGGCAGAGGUGCCUCUGCCCUCUGGAUAAACUACUCCUUCCAGGCGGAGAAGGCAUCUUUCCAGAGCCUGGACUAAUUCUGCUCUUCCAGGAUGCACGUCUUCUCAUACCCACAUGUCUGAAUCUGGUUAAUAUGAAAGGCUGGCCCGUCACUAGAUUUUUCCUGAUUUCUCUCCUACAGGUCAUAUUUGACUUGC